CCCUUCUUUUUUGGGGGGGAUAAUGUGGAAUUAAAACGACAAGGAAAGAAUAAACGAAUAGAAACCAACAACGUCGACAAUGGGAUUUGUGAUUUUGUGUCAAUCGGGAGGGCUUCAGAGCAACGCCGCCACUUCAUCACCUCAGGAAGAGAAGAGCCCGGUUCCUUUUGUGAUUUCUACUCAAAAGGGCUUUUCUUUCCUCCCUUUGGACGCGUGUUCAGUCUGGCUGCUUCGGGAGUCCGCUGUGGAAAAGGACAGUUGAAUGCAGCCUCCGCCGUGCACAAAAGAAUGGGUUUCCAUUCAAGGUGGCCAUUGGUGGGACCUGCACCAACGGCACUGUGCCUGUGUGUGUUCAGCAUGCUGCUGUGCCUGCCGUCUCCUGCGUCAUGCACAACCUGCCCCCAGAAAUGCCGUUGCGAAGACCAGCAGUUCUACUGCGACACCCAAGGACUGGAGGCGCCCCCGGACGGCGUUGACAGGGGGGCCCUGGGGUUGUCGCUCCGCCACAACAGCGUCGCUGAACUGAGCCCGGACCAGUUCUAUGGCUUCUCCCAGCUCACCUGGCUCCACCUGGACCACAACCAGAUCACCACGGUGCGGGAGGACGCCUUCCAGGGGCUCUAUAAACUCAAAGAUCUCAACCUGAGCUCCAACCGGAUCACAAAGCUGCCAAACACAACCUUCAUCCACCUCAUCAACCUACAGAUCUUAGAUCUGUCCUUCAACCUGAUGACUGCGCUGGAGCCUGAGCUGUUCCAUGGCCUCCGCAAGCUGCAGAUCCUCCACCUGCGCUCCAACUCGCUGCGCACCACCCCCGUCCGGGCCUUCUGGGACUGCCGCAGCCUUGAGUACCUGGGUCUGUCCAACAACCGGCUGCGAAGCCUGGCCCGGAACGGCUUCGCAGGCCUCAUUAAACUCAGAGAACUCCACUUGGAACACAACCAGCUGACUAAGAUCAACCUGGCUCAUUUCCCCCGCCUGGUGGCUCUGCAGUUCCUUUAUCUGCAGUGGAACAAGAUCUCCAACCUGACCUGCGGUAUGGAGUGGACCUGGACCACGCUGGAGAAGAUGGACCUAACGGGGAACGAGAUCCGGGUGCUGACCCCGGACGUGUUCGAGACGCUGCCUAACCUGAAGAUCCUCCUAUUGGAUAACAACAAGCUAGGCAGCCUGGACCCUCUGGUCUUGGAUAUGUGGCGGUCUCUAGGUACCGUGGGGCUGUCCAGCAACCUUUGGGAAUGUACCAAAGGGAUCUGCUCCCUGGCCACUUGGCUUAGCACCUUCAAGGGGAGGUGGGAACACUCCAUCCUGUGUCACACCCCCGAGUACGCCCAGGGCGAGGAGAUACUGGAUGCCGUUUAUGGAUUCCAGCUUUGUCUGAAUUUUACAGUGCCGCCACCUGUCGUCUUGACCACAACCACUUUGUCAAUGGUCACGGACUCGCCGACAGGCACGACGGCGGAGGUCACCAGCUCUCUGUUCGGAGUAAUGAAGCAGACACCCACACAGGGUUACUAUGGGGAUUUGGGGCGCUUUACGACCGUAACGACAACGACCGCCGCGCCGCGCACCGCCCUGGCAACCACGGUGGAGGGCGGGGGUGGAGCGGUGGGAGUCCCCGAGGACUUCUCGGAGACGGACAACACAGUCCUGACCCAGAGGGUGAUCAUUGGAACCAUGGUCCUUCUGUUUACCUUCUUCCUCAUCAUUUUCGUUGUGUUCAUCUCACGGAAGUGCUGCCCUCCUACCAUGCGCAGGAUACGCCAGUGCUCGGCCAUGCAGAACCGCCGCCAGAUGAGGACCCAGCAGCGGCAGCAAAUGGCGGACCUGGCCACGCAGGUACCCUAUAACGAGUACGAGCCCAGCCACGAGGAGGGAGCGCUGGUUAUCAUCAACGGCUACGGGCAGUGCAAGUGUCAACAGCUGCCUUACAAAGAGUGUGAAGUGUAAACUGUGUAUAUCCCCCUGCAGCAGCAGCAUAUGGGCUGUUGACCAAACAAUACAGGGUUUGUUUUUUUGCUUCCCCCCCCCUCCCAGUUUAUACAACAACAAAAGACUUUCUACUCGUUAGCUCUGAGAAAUCAAUGUGAUUAGUACAUUGGGAGAGUUGAUGCCUGGUGGGUGGGUGGAAUGGACGAUGAAGAGACUGAUGAUGAGGAUGUAGUAGGAAUAGUCACCAUUUAUUUUUAUAUGAAUGCAAGAUUGUUCAUAUCAGAUAGCUGUGGGCAAUCAGUCUCCACACAGGAAAAAGAGAAAAAAAAAACCCUGGUAGACGGAUGUGUCACCAGGUGGGGGGGGGGGGGGGCUAUCAGUCACUAUGUUCACCAGAGAGAAGAAGAAGACAUCUACUACGAGACGGAAACCAAUCCGAGCUGACUUCAGUCUCAAUGUCAUUCAGAUAACAACAGAAGCCUCGUCUCUAAAUGGCCCGCGGACGGACAGGAUGGAUAAGAGAGACAGUGAAUCGUAGUAUAUUUUUCAGAGGAAGGAAGGAAAGAAGUGUUGGCAUACAUUUGACAUCACUGAAAGAUCACAGCUUGUUAAAUGGUGAGCGAAAUUAAGCCACAAUUUGUAGAAAUGUGCAUCCAUUUGCACAUUCGAACUGUCAAAUAAAACAUGUUUCGGUUGUUUUCUUGUCAUACUCUGAAGCUCUCACUCCCCCCUAGCACCUUCAUCUCUCA